UAUACCUACCAAUCAAAUUGUAGUUUUCCGUGUGGAAGUCCGGCCCUUUUCCGGAAACGAUGACCAAUGAGAAAUGCCCCUCCCCAGAGUCCUCUUAGGUGACUGGUGAAUCUUUCCAGUUCCCGAAUGCAUUCUCUGGAACAGAUUGGUCCACUCUGUGAUUGGCCUCGCCCCUCAAGGUGAGGCGCUGGAAAAGGCUUGGAAAUUAUUGGUUUGCAGAUCUCUUUGUUAAUUACUGUCUAUUGCAAGAGGAAGCUUCUCUGAUGAGGAUGAACAAUGCUCUACUCGAUGUUUCAGGGUUUUCACCAUGGCGGCGGUGGCAGCAGCAGCAACGGCAGCUAUGGGUUCCAUCUUAUGGAGUGGGUCGUAAAUCCAAGAACAUUUGUGCUAUUUUUGCGUAUAUGGACUCAACAGAGACUCUGAUAGCUUACAAAAGACCUGCACAGGCUGGAACUAGACAAAAUCCCAGCACUGACGACGGGAAGUGGAUACAAAGUCCUAGCCCAAAUCAAGAAGCUAUCUAAAAACAACAUGAAGUUGGCCGAGUAGGGAGGUUUGUCUGUGUGAGCUCAGUGCCUGUGGAGGUCAGAGGAAGGCAUAUGAUCCCCGGAGCUGGAGUUGCAGGUGGUUCUGAGCUGCUUGACGUGAAUGCUGGGAACCAAACUAUUGUUCUGUGCAAGAGCAAUAAAUGCUUUUAGACAUGCAAUA